rnacentral:rRNA from 1 species
UACGGGGGGGGCAAGCGUUGUUCGGAAUUACUGGGCGUAAAGGGCUCGUAGGUGGCCAACUAAGUCAGACGUGAAAUCCCUCGGCUUAACCGGGGAACUGCGUCUGAUACUGGAUGGCUUGAGUUCGGGAGAGGGAUGCGGAAUUCCAGGUGUAGCGGUGAAAUGCGUAGAUAUCUGGAGGAACACCGGUGGUGAAGGCGGCAUCCUGGACCGACACUGACGCUGAGGAGCGAAAGCCAGGGGAGCAAACGGG